rnacentral:lncRNA from 1 species
AUGCUGUGGAUUUACAUUUCCUGAAGCAUCUGACUUGUCACUCGAUGAUAUAUCAAAGAAAACAGUCAAACACGUAUUUUUGUCUAGUCCACAUAACUUCCAAGCUGUGGUGUUCCCCUGCCCAAUCACUGUGCUCGCAACAGCGGGUCCUUUCUGUAAAGGCAAGCAAUAGUCCAUAAAAAAAUACUAAUAAAAAUUAGAAUUUAGACAUUAUUUGCAUCUGAGCACUCGGGCAGAUAGUCAACGGUGACAAUUUAGAACCACUGACUUACAAAUGGGUCGUUUCAAGUUAUGUUCGGUCUCUAACGGUUAUGAAUUAGCUUAAAAAUGGGUAGAAAGUAGCCCAAUGUGUAAUCUUAGAGUGAAGUAGAUAGAUGGUCCAUGUGGUUAAUCAAAAUUUUGGAUUGAGUCCCUAGCUUUCCAAAAGUACAAGAAUGAUCCCUAUGGUUUGCACUUUAUAUCACAUUUAGUCCUUAACUUUUGCCAAAAGUACACGGAUGGUCCUUAUAGUUUACACUUUGUAACGCAUUUAGUCCCCAAGUGACUAAAUGCUUUACGAAGUGCAAACCACAGGGACCAUUCAUGUACUUUUGGCAAAAGUUGGGGACUAAAUGCGUUACAAA